GACGAACGCUGGCGGCGUGGAUUAGGCAUGCAAGUCGGACGGUAGGGCUUUAUCGUAAGAUAGAGUUUGAGAGUGGCGAACGGGUGAGUAACACGUAGGAAUCUACCCUUAAGACGGGGACAACCCAGGGAAACUUGGGCUAAUACCGGAUGAGAGUGCGAGAGAUUGCAUUUAAAAGGAUGGCGAAAGUUGUCGCUUAGGGAUGAGCCUGCGGUCUAUUAGUUAGUUGGUGAGGUAAGAGCUCACCAAGGCGAUGAUAGAUAGGCGGCCUUAACGGGUGGUCGCCCACACUGGGAUUGAGAUACGGCCCAGACUCCUACGGGAGGCAGCAGUCGAGAAUAGUCUACAAUGGUCGGAAGACUGAUAGUGCGACGCCGCGUGAACGAUGAAUCCCUUCGGGGUGUAAAGUUCUUUUAUAUGUGAGCAGUGCUUCUUAUAUUAACAGUAUGGGGAAGAGAUAUUAGCAUAUGAAUAAGCAACGGCUAACUCCGUGCC
rnacentral:rRNA from 1 species